ensembl:lncRNA
GGGUCUCAUUGCAUUCUUCUCCAGAAGCCAGUUGUUCAAGGGUGCGUUUGUCACUUUCUAGCUCCUGCCGUCUGUGGGGUCGCACAGAGUCAGACACGACUGAAGCAACUUAGCAGCAGCAGCAGCAGCUCUUCUUUCCUGUUGUGUUACCUUCGUUGGCUGUAAAACUAAGCAGCUUACAACCAACCACAGUGAUCUUCUCAUCUGUGCCAACUUGUGUGGAGUAAGGAAACAACUAUAGCAUCAAAGCUUCCUCAGGACUGAUGUCAAAAGAACUAAAACUGCUUAAAAAAAUAAGGUCUAUUAAAAAAAUAUAUUUCUAGUGACAGGUGUUCUAGUACAAAAAAUGCCAGAAAAAUAUCAAAAAGUGACCAUACACAACCCAAAAGGAAGAAGAAAAUUUUGGCACAUUACAAAAUGUGUUAAAGGAAAGGACAUCAAAACAGAAAUUUUGCUAAUAAAGAGGUUAUGGAUCAGCUUAUUCACUGGCUCCUACAUUUGCUUGUACAGAAGGUGUCAG